CCCAUUGCUAUAAAACCAUUGCUAUACAACUGAAAAGUGCUGUGGUCUCUCUGAAUAAAGCACAAAGUGAAGAUGAGAGGAAUAAUACUACUCAGUCUCCUGGCUGUUGUCCUGGCUCUGCCUAAACCUCAACAAACUAAACAGCUGUGGCCAAAAGGUUCCAGGUUUCCCCUUGAAAAUGUAGAUGGGUUUGGGGAAGAGGAACAAUGGCCAAAAGGUUCCAGGAUUCCCCUUGAAAAUGUAGAUGGGUUUGGAGAAGAGGAACAAGAGACGUCCCAGGGUUUGGUAUACACAGGUACUCAGCCCAUUAUGGAGCCCACUCCUAGACCCUUUGCAAACACGGAGAAGACAACCCUAUCAGCAGCUGUAAAUGCUUUAAUAUCAGCAGUUGUAAACGCUAUUCAGAGUUUGGGAGAUUAUUAAAGGACUGUGUUGCUGGUUUGAGUUGGGGCUAUCAUGGUGGUGUGUCCAAUAAACCAGUGGUGUUCAA